UAGUAGUAGAUUAUAGAAAUUAUGCAAGGUUUCAGAAAACAUUUUCUAAUAAAAGGAAGCUAAUAAUUGAUAAGGCGUACUCCCAGAUAAAAAAGACUGGCCAUAAAGGUGAGAUGACAUGGCUCACAUUGUAAAGUUGCUGUAAUGUGAAGACCAGUGAAAGGGAGGUCAGCAAAAAAGGGAACAGGCACCAGCUGACAGAACAAUAAAGCACCCCUGAAAUCCAGGUUAUUAUACCUACACUUUUAUUGCAAAGCAGAUAUUAACUUAAUUUGGCUUAAUAAAAGUAACCUGUUCAUGUUAUCUUCUCCCCUAAGGACCAACUGCCAUAAUUCCUUGCCAGUUCUCUACCUUCAUGACCCAGUGUGGUACAAAUUUAUCUGCUUUUCUCUUGUAACCUCUUAUAGAAAAUACUACCCAGUUUUCUUUCCCUCGCUUUUCUUGCUGUUUGGCUUUACAGUGUCAUUCACUUUAGUACUGAUCCUUGGAGGCAGCAGAAUUCUCACGGAUCCAUGCUUUAAAUCCCUAAGUUUACAGAGUCAAAAGUUGAAAUGUAAUGGAUUUAGAAUUACAGCACAAACUCAAAAAUAACCAAAUAAAUGUGUAACCUUAGGUGAAACUGAAGACUUAGGCCAUAGUCUCAGCACUGGUAGUAGCAGAGAAUAUCAAAGCCGUCACUCUUCCUUUGAGCUAUCAGGACUGUGGCUUAGAGAGGCUAUAAGCAGGGAAAGCUAUGAAAUCAGAAUGAAGGAGAUGGAAUCACAGUGAUAAAGCCUUGACACAAGAGCAGAAAGAAUCUAUGACACAGCCAGUUAGAACCUGCUGAGCCCUAAUCCUGGCCAUAUACCAACCAAACAGGAGAUUAUUUUACUCUGAGUAUCACAAUCAUUUAAAUAAUAUAAUUUACACUUAAUGCAAAUCACAGGUUUUCUUGUUUCUUUGCUUGCUUGUUUGUUUUUUAAUUUCAUGUUUAAUUAGAAAACGUUGCAAGCUAUUCCAACCUUUUUUAGAGUUAGACCUUUUUAAGACUUUUCUACAGCUUUAGAACUUGAGAACUAGUGCUCAAUACAUUUAGAACUUAACUAAUAACCUCAAGCAGAACAGCAUAUGUGUGCUCGCCUUUUUUUCUUGGAUGGAUAUUUCUUGGGACAAAAUAAUAUGUUAAGUAAGUGUUUUUGCUGUAUAGUUUUUUUAUAUAAGUUUUUAUUUUUUUAUUUUGCUAUCAUUAAUGUACAAUUACAUGAACAACAUUAUGUUUACUAGACUCCCCCUAUUAUCAAGCCCCCAUCAAAUACCCCAUUACAAUCACGGUCCAUCAGUGUAGUAAGAUGCUAUAGAAUCACUACAUGUCUUCUCUGUGUUAUACUGCCUUCCUUAUGUAC